AUUCCAUGAUGGGGACAUUUUCUCAGCAGCUCCUUAAACCUUUCCCACGCAUCAUACAGUGAUUGACCAUCAUUUUGGUGAAAAUUGUUGAUUUCACCUCUAUACCU